AUUCGACUGAAGAGUCCAAAAUGGAACGAAACGCGCAUCCUGGAU
rnacentral:hammerhead_ribozyme from 1 species